CCAUGUCAACAUCGUCUCCUUGUUGGGCUACUGUUUUGAGGGUUCGAAGAGGGCUCUGAUCUAUGAAUUCAUGCCUAAUGGAUCGCUCGAGAAGUUCAUAUUUGAUGCAAGUACUCCCAAGAAUGAUCAUCAUCACUUGGGAUGGGAAACUCUGGAUCAAAUUUCACUUGGUAUUGCUCAAGGAUUGGAGUACUUACAUCGUGGUUGCAACACACGAAUUUUGCAUUUCGACAUCAAGCCUCACAACAUUCUUCUCAGUGAAAAAUUCAUCCCAAAAAUCUCGGAUUUUGGCCUUGCCAAAAUAUGCAACAUGAACGAGAGCAUUGUGUCGAUGUUGGGAGCUAGAGGUACACCAGGUUACAUUGCUCCAGAAGUAUUUUCUAGAAACUUUGGAAAGGUCUCGCACAAGUCUGAUGUGUACAGCUACGGAAUGAUGCUUUCGAAGAUGGUUGGAGGAAAAAAGAACAUCGACACUGAAGCUGAAAAUACAAGUGAAAUAUAUUUUCCGCAUUGGAUUUACCAGCGUCUUGAACGGGACGAAGAGCUUGGUAUGCAGAGUGUUACAAACGAGGAAGACAAAGUAAGAGCGAGGAAGAUGAUCAUAGUGAGCUUGUGGUGUAUACAAACUGAUCCUUCAAAUCGGCCAUCGAUGAAGGAAGUGAUAGAUAUGUUGGAAGGGAGUGUUGAUUCGUUGCAUAUACCACCCAAGCCUUACUUGUCUUCUCUUCCAAAAUCCCCGGCAGAUUCGUCUUCUCCUCCAAAAUCCCCGGCAGAUUCUUCUACUACAUUGGUAUCAAUGCAGUAGAAACCCUGUAUUUUACUUGAACGAAUCUAUGCUUUCUGAGGCAAUCUAAAUAAUGAAGUAUGCAUUUCAUUUUUGUUUUGUUUUUUCUAUAUAUGAAUGAAUCAACACAGUAGGAGUGUCACUCCUACUACCCCUCCGGCAAUCAUAUAUAUAUAUAUAUAUAUAUAUAUUCAACACAAAAUGUGUGAAACAUUUGCAUUUCUGGCUCAGGCCAGUGGACUAGGAUAGUGUGCCCGCUUCAUGCAUCUUGUGAAGCCACGUGAUUCUAUUCUAACAAACAGUGAAGAGAAUUGAAGCUGUGUUGAAUUUCGGAGUUUUUGCAGCACCUUUAAAAAUGAGUGGAUAGGCCAUAGGCGGUACCCCAUUACUUGAAAAAUAACUCUAUGGUGAUGCUGGAUGAAUUUCCAAGUGACAAGCAUAUUGCAUAUGAUCAACUUAACCAAAAUUAUUGAUGCACGCCGCCAAUAUGAUUAAAAUAAAAUUCCGAUUUUAGACCUUAGCUUUUGAAAUGAACAAAAAAUGCGAUGUAACGGCAUAUGUCUGAUUCAAAAAUGAUUGGUUGAAUCCUAGAAAUACUAUUUGAUCGCCCAAAUCAUGUACCCUCUUCCAUGCCAUCCGGCUGAAAUCCAGUUUAUAUGCUUUGAAAUCAUGUGUUUCAAGAACAGCAUCAGGUUCGGGGCUAUAAAACCUAAAAACAAGUAGAAGCUCUCACAAGAUUCCACAAGAUACUUCAAUACACUGUAAUUUUCCUGCUCCUCGGACAUUUUUACUUAAUGGCUAUCUGUUUUUAUCUCAUGAUCAUCCUCUGUUCUGAUGGCAGCAAGCACAUUAGCAACCUUAAUCUUCAAAAUGCUAUAAUCACUGCUUAGAAGAUAGAAACUUCCAUCUGAGAAGACAGCGUCCUCAAACGGCUCACCGUCUAGCUUAUGUUUAAGCCAUGAUUGAGCUCCGCGGACCCAAAAUGCAAGCUCCCGGUGUUGACUAUGAACAAGCAUGCAAACAAGGUUUUCGACAGAAGGAAGCGCAGAGAGAACCAUCUUGUGAUAAAAAUUCCAUGUUUUGGGAAGAUUAGUUUUCUUCCUAGAGAAUGGAUUCAACAAACGAAUGUCAAGGUUUUAACAGUCGACUUCUUUCGCUAGAAUCAACCAAUCUUGAUAUGAUCCCCAACAGUAUCUUCCAAUAGCCUGAGGAAGCACUAUCUCCCAAUCUUGAUUCUGUAAUAUGCUAAGACAAGUCCACAAGUCCUUACAUGUCUGCCUCUGUGGCCAGAAGUCAUGAGCCACGGGACACCACGCCGUUGCCAACAAGAAAGUUCCUGUCCAAUAACGUUUCUCCAAGCUCUGCAAACAUCAUUAACAGAGAUACAAUCAAUCAGAGGCAGUCGCUCAAGGAUAAUCUCAAGUAUACCCUGAGCCAGCUCUUCCCAAUCCACAUUCGUAAACUUCUGCUUCUUCCGCCUUUUAUUUCUCCUUCAAUCCAUCAAAGCUCUAUGACUCUACAGAUAGCAAAUAAUAGUGUAAAUACAACGUCAAAAAAGUGUAAAAAUUACAGCACUAACAUUCAAAUUCAAUGCAUAACAGAUGUGGAUAGAAAGAUCAUACAUUUUGUGAAGGCAAAUAACUCCCUUGCUACCUUGUAACAUGCCUCUUAUUGAUAGGUUGAUAAAUGUGUUGACGUGUCAUGUUGUAAUUGGGUGUUGUAUAGAAGUAGUUAGAAGGGUUGAUUCUGUUGUAAGCUAUAAAUACCAUUGUGUAGUGUAAUUAUUGAUCAAGAAAUGAAAAAGGAUAUUCAAUUUCACUCUCUCUCUAGUUUGUUAAUUUUCUCACUCUACAAAUACUUUCUGGAAAUCUUUAGUGUUUACAUGGUAUCAUCGCCGAUCAUGGCCACGGCCAUCGAUUGACGACCUGGUGCUUCCGCUCGUCUUUUGUGCUUUUCGUGUCGUUCUGAAUUCUGUCGGUGGUUCGUUGCUUCAAGUCGGUCGCCUCUGUGAUUGUUGUCGGUGGUGUUCGAUCGCAGUCGGUGCAUGUCGGUCGCCUCUGUGAUUGUUGUCGGUGGUGUUCGAUCGCAGUCGGUGCUCAAACCCUAAGAUUUGGGGUUUUUAUGGUUGCUCGUCAGGUGUUUCUUCUUCUUUCUUACAUCUGCUCUUCGCGAUUCUUCGCUUUCUGCUUCGAUUUGGUCAUUGUAUCUUGUUCGAUUUCUUGUGCAUUGUUUUGCGAUCUUGUUCUUGUGCACCGUUUGCGAGUUUUCUACUGCCUGUUGCUGUGUGUGUUGUGCAAUCUCAAAAUUUUCGUGAAGUAAUCUUGAUUGUUCACAAUGGUUAAUCCAAAUCAAUCGGCUCUUACUCAAUCGCCAAUUUCUUCAUUGAUUCCAAGUGUGGGUAACACUGUGACAGUGAAGUUAGAUGAUUCUAACUAUGUUCCCUGGAAUUUCCAAAUGGAUCUUCUUUUGGAAGGGAAUGGUAUUAUGGGUUUUAUUGAUGGAUCCAUCUCCUGUCCUAAGAAGUUUGAGACUGAUAAAUCUAUCGAUGGUGCUGUUGACACUACUGAGGUUCUCUCUGAUGCGUACAAAAUAUGGAAGAUUCAUGAUAAAGCUCUUAUGACUCUUAUUGCUGCCACUUUAUCUACUUCUGCAUUGUCCUCUAUCAUUGGUUCUCAAAGUGCUAAGGAAAUGUGGGACAAUCUUCGUGAAAGGUUUGCUAGUGUUACUCGUACCAGCAUUGUGCAGUUGAAAAUUGAUUUGCAGAAUAUUAAAAAAGGGCCAGAGUCCAUUGAUCAAUACCUUCAACAGAUCAAGGAUUCUAGGGAUCAAUUGGCUGCUGUUGGAGUUACUAUUUCUGAUGAAGACAUUGUUAUUGUGGCUUUACGGGGCUUACCAUCUGAAUACAAUACUAUCAAAGCUGUUAUUCGUGGCCGAGAAAAUCUGGUAUCUUUAAAAGAACUCCGGUCCCAAUUAAAGGCUGAAGAAUCCACAUUGGCUGAGGUUCACAAGCAAAUUCCUCUAAUGUCUGCUAUGUAUGCUUAGGGUGCUUGAGCUACUUAUGAUUCAGGCCAAUCUUCGGGUCAUAAUGCCUUACAAGAUGAGACCUCUUUGCAUUUUUCCCCGAUGUCUAUGCCACCAAUGCCUAUGCCCAUGUCUAACUAUUCCUAACCAAUGCCUGUUCAGAUGCCUCUGCCUGGUUAUCUCCCGUGUGUUUUUCCCUCUCAAUAUGCUUCUGGUUCAUUUAACAACUUCAGAGGUUCUAAUAAUAAUUUCAAGUCCAAAGGCAAAGCAAACGUUUCUCCUAAGGUUCUCAGUCUUCCUCCCAGUCUCUGUAUGGUGCAAACAAUUCUCAGCAUUUGUUCCCUGCUCCAUUUCCGUCUGUUCCAGCAUAUAAUCCGUCUCAAAUUUGUCAAAUUUGCGAUAAGAAAGGGCAUUCUGCUCUCAAUUGCUUUUAGAAUGGGUGUCAAAUAUGUCACAGGAAAGGCCAUACUGCUGCUACUUGCUUUGACAUGAAUGCUUCCUCACAGUUUCAUAUGGCUGGUUCUUCCUCUCAUCCGAUGACUGUUCAUCCAUCAUUUCAGUUUUCUUCUGUUGGUGAUCCACCUAGCCCUUAUUUUCGUGGACCUCACAUUCAGCAACCUGUUUCUUAUCAAGCUUCUCAACCUGUAGCUAUGCAAGCCAGGGCCAACAUGACUCCAAGUGCACCUCCUCAAGAUUUUUGGCUGCUUGAUUCCGGUGCAACCAACCAUAUGACUUCCGAUAUUGCUAAUCUUUCAGCUGCAGUCCCUUAUCCGUCAACUGAGACAGUCACGAGUGCUGGUGGUGAAGGUUUAAGUAUUGCUCAUAUUGGCAACACUGUAUUUCCCACCAAAUCACAUACUUUUCAGCUUAAUUCUGUGCUACAUGUUCCGAAACUGUCUCAAGAUUUACUCUCCAUGUAUCAAUUAUGUAAAGAUAACAGUUGUCGCUGUAUUGUUGAUGAGUUUUCUAUUUGUAUACAGGACAAGGUCACAGGGCAAGUGUUGUAUCGAGGACUGAGUAACAAUGCAGUUUAUCCAAUUCCAGUUUUCAAGUAUUCCAGCUCAAAUGUGACUACUCCAGCUGCAUUUUUGGGUCAAAAUGUGUCUUCUGAUCUCUGACAUUGUAUAUUAGGCCAUCAUUCCAAUGCUAUUACCACUGCAGCCCUUAGGAAUUCAUCCAUUUAUGUUCCCUGUAAUAAAGAUUCCCUUACUUGUAUUUCUUGUUUACAAGGCAAGUUUUCCAAAUUACCUUUCCCUUGUAUUGCUUCAAAAUCUUUGGUUCCUUUUGAAGUCAUACACUCCGAUGUGUGGGGUCCUGCUCCAGUUGAGUCUUUAGAAGGGUUUCGGUAUUAUGUGUCCUUUGUGGAUGAAUGUACAAGAUAUACAUGGGUUUUCCCUAUUUUCAAUAAAUCUGCAGUUUUCUCUGUUUUUGCUCAGUUUGUUGCCUAUGUUCAAACUCAGUUUAAUGCUACUGUUAAAACACUUCAGAGUGAUGGUGGGGGUGAGUAUGUGGGCUUAGCUUUUCAAGCAUUUCUUAGAGAUAAGGGUAUUGUUCAUCAAAUGCCUUGUCCUUAUACCCCAGAACAAAAUGGGUUAGCUGAGCGAAAAAAUAGGCAUUUAUUGGAAACUGCUAUCACUUUACUUCAAAAAGCAUCCCUGCCUUCUUAUUUCUGGUUUCAUGCUUGUGCUACGGCUUCCUAUCUUAUUAAUAGGAUGCCGACUCCUGUUCUUAAAAUGAAAUCUCCCUUUGAACUUCUGUUUAAGUCUGUACCGAAGCUUGAUCACUUAAGAGUCUUUGGUUGUGCAUGUUUUCCUUUCUUGCGACCUUAUAGGAAUAACAAGUUAGAUCAAAAAACUACCGAGUGUAUAUUUUUGGGAUAUGCUUCUCAAUACAAGGGUUAUAUUUGUUUUUCUCUCAGUACUCAUAAACUCCUUGUGUCUAGACAUGUCAUAUUUGAUGAACAAAGCUUUCUUAGCAUCAGAUUAUCAUCUCCUUCAUCUCCUCCCAAGGCAUCAUAUUCUCCUCCGAAUCCGGUUGUUCAUCCUAAUACAUUUACACAUCCGUUCGUCAUACCUAUUCCUCUACCUCAAGUGUCACCAUCCUUGAGUUCUGGAACUUCAACCCCUGCUAUUACUCAGUCCACUUCUGCAUCAACAUACAACACUGGUGACCUUGUCUCUCCUCCCCUGUCUCCUACUCCUGGAUCGACUGCACAGUACUCUCCCUCUGGACCUGAUGGUCCUUCAGAUCUCCAUCCUGACACUACAUCUUCUCAAGUUGAUACACUGCAGGCUGUCCCAGUUUCCACACUUAACAGUCAUCCUAUGCAAACUAGAUUAAAAUCUGGUAUUGUGAAGAAGAAAGUUUUUCAGCCACGGUUGGUGAUGUUCUUCCUCUGACAGAACCUACUACUUAUUCCGCAGCGUCCAAGUGUGUGGAAUGGCACGCUGCCAUGAACGAAGAAAUGCAAGCCUUAGUUCAACAACAAACCUGGAAGCUUGUUCAUUUUCCUCCCAACAAGAACCUUGUAGGCUGCAAGUGGAUUUAUAAAAUUAAAAAGAAUGCUGAUGGUUCUGUUGCUCUGUAUAAGGCUCGGUUAGUUGCCAAAAGGUUCUCCCAAGAAGCCGGAAUGGACUAUUAUGAAACCUUUAGUCCUGUGGUUAAACCUACCACUGUGAGGUUGGUGUUGUCCUUGGCUGCUACAAAUGGUUGGAAAAUGAAACAGUUGGAUGUUCAGAAUGCCUUUCUUCAUGGCUUUCUUGAUGAAGAGUGUACAUGUCUCAACCACAAGGUUUCCUGGAUCCAAUCCAUCCUGAGUAUGUGUGUAAGUUGGAAAGGUCACUUUAUGGCCUUAAACAGGCUCCUCGAGCAUGGCAUGACAGAUUUUCCAAGUUCUUGCAUUCAAUUGGUUUCAAGUCUUCAUAUGCCGAUUCUUCCCUUUUUGUUCAAAAGGUUGGCAGCGAGGUAGUCAUACUUCUCCUCUAUGUUGAUGACAUCAUCCUCACAGGAAGCAAUGAGCAAUUGGUACAAUCUGUCAUACAUCAACUUACAUCGGAGUUUGAAAUGAAGGAUUUAGGUCUUCUGCAUUUUUUUCUUGGUCUGCAGGUUGAGUAUCAGUCUCAAGGGUUGUUGAUUCAUCAAACCAAGUAUAUCAAGGAUCUCUUACAGAAAGUUAACAUGGUUGAUUGUAAGCCUUGUCUUACUCCUUGUCAUCCCAAUCAAAAGUUGUUGAACCAUGACAGUCCUCCGUUUUCGGAUCCAACCUACUAUCGUAGUCUUGUUGGUGCCUUGCAGUACUUAACCUUCACUCGGCCUGAUAUAGCAUUCUCUGUUAAUCAGGUUUGUCAAUUUAUGCAUUCUCUUCUUGACCAACAUUUUGCAGCCGUAAAGAGAAUUUUGAGGUAUCUUAAAGGAUCCAUGCACUUCGGUUUGUGUUUUCGUUCUGGUCCUAUAUCUUUACGAGCCUACACCGAUGCGGAUUGGGCUGGUGAUCCCAAUGACAGGCGAUCCACUACUGGAUUUGUUAUUUUUCUGGGUUCUAAUCCUGUCUCCUGGAGCUCUAAAAAGGAGCAUACGGUUAGUCGAUCUUCCACUGAGGCUAAAUACAGGGCUAUGGCCACUACCACAGCUGAGGUUGUGUGGAUUCAACAACUCCUCAAGGAUUUACAGGUUUCUUGUCCUGAUCCACCGUUGUUGUACUGUGAUAAUAUUUCAGCAAUGGCACUUGCAACUAAUCCUAUCCUGCAUUCUAAGGCGAAGCAUAUAGAAAUUGACUGUCACUUUGUUCGGGAACGGGUUCAACAAGGUUCUAUUGUGUUGCAGUUUGUGGCCUCUACUGAUCAAUAUGCCGACAUCCUGACUAAAGGCUUAUGUUCUUCUCCAUUUCACUCUUUUUGUUCCAAUCUCAUGCUUGGCUGCUCCAAUCAUGGGAUUGAGGGGGGAUGAUAGGUUGAUAAAUGUGUUGACGUGUCAUGUUGUAAUUGAGUGUUGUAUAGAAGUAGUUAGAAGGGUUGAUUCUGUUGUAAGCUAUAAAUACCAUUGUGUAGUGUAAUUAUUGAUCAAGAAAUGAAAAAGGAUAUUCAGUUUCACUCUCUCUCUAGUUUGUUAAUUUUCUCACUCUACAAAUACUUUCUGGAAAUCUUUAAUGUUUACACUUAUCAGUUCAAAAUCAAAUUAGAAAAACUUUCUACAUAAUCUUUAAAUGUUUACAGGUACAUCUCAAAAAUUGGGAUGCCAUUGUUUGUACAGUAGUAGUAAUUGUUCCUCGGAGUCUAGCACUGGACGCAAACAAAUAAAAUGAUUCCCGAACAAAUACAAGCACAGACACAAACAAUCAAAACCUGAAUUAGAAUAACAAAAUGAUUGCCAAGAGAUAAAAUCGUUAGGUCCCAACUCGAAGAGAAUGCAAGCUUUUAUAUUUUAUAAGAGAUCUCUGCAAGAAGGAUGCUGUAUAUUAUCAACAUUCUCAAUUUCUGAGUUAAACCCAUUACUUUAGUAAAGAAGGCUUUUCAAUUGCAUUGUUCAUAUGAACAGUGUUUGAAGCCGAAUUUCACUUUUUUUACAAAAUUGCCACCGCCUCUUCAGUGCUGUUCAGAUUGGAAUUUUUAUUUAUUUACGAAAUUGCCACCGCACUGUGGACGCGUCAAUCAUCGUGCAAUUUCUUCCUCUCUCAUCAGGUAUCUCACUCUCAUUUCAUUUCAUCAUCUCUCCAGGAAAAAAGUUAAAACCUGGCCACUCAAAUUUCUCUCAACCCGAGCCGUCCCUCAUCUUUCUUCACUCCUCUUUCCUCUUCUCUCGACAGUAGCACUCGAUCAUGUUAUGAUCACAACUCAAAACCUUAACUCAGACCUGCAAGUAUGUAACAAUGGAGGAUAGAGGAAUACAGAGAAGAGCUAGAGAGAGAAGAGUUUUUUUUUUAAUAUAUUUCUUUUGAAUAUUCGUUCUGCCUUUUCUUUCACAAGUGGCUACAUAUAUGGUUCCCCAAAACUCUCAAAGCUAGCUGGAAUGACUAAUUACAAAACAACUUCUUAUUUAAUUGCUAAAAUAUGAUUAAGAUAAUCACAAUUAUAACAUUACCUCGCCCUUCAAUUAAACCUUGUCCUCAAGGUUGCUGUUAAAACUUGAAUCCUGGAAAUUUUGCAGUGAACUCAUCAUAAUCUUCCCAAGUAGAUUCUUUAACGUUCUUGUCCUUCCACUGAAUAAGCAGUUGAACCCCAGCUGCAUUGUUCUUCUUGUAGACCCUUCUUUGUAGUACUGCCAAAGGUUCUUGAGCUUGUAGUCCAUCAUCAAUCACUAGUGGUAAUAGUGGCACAAGAUUAACAUUAGGAUCCACAUGUUUCUUCAAGCAACUGAUAUGGAAGACGGGAUGUAUCUUGGAGGUCUCAGGAAGCUUUAGCUUGUAAGCCACACUACCAACUUUCUCUAAUACUUCAAAGGGCCCAUAGAACUUUGGGUAAAGUUUGUGGAAUGCAUGAGUUGCUAAUAACUGCAGCUGGUAGGGAAUAAGCUUCAAGUAGACCCAAUCUCCCACCUCAAAUGUUCUCUCACUUCUAUUUUUAUCCACAUGUACCUUCAUUCUGUUUUGAGCAAUGAUCAGAUUGGUUUUGAGCAUUGUCAACAUUUUGUCUCUUGCCAUCAGUCCUUGUUCAACACUCUCCAGUUUAGCAGAACCAAGCUCAUAAGAGGCAAUGUGUGAAGGAGGGUAGCCAUAUACAAUUUCGAAAUGUGUGAACUUGGACGCAGUGUGAAAUGAAGUGUUGUAACUCCAUUCAGCCCAAGGAAGCCAUUGGAGUAACUUCUUGGGUUGGCAGCUAGUGAAGCAUCUCAGAUAGGUUUCUAAACAUCUGUUGACAACCCCCGUCUGUCCAUUACUUUGUGGAUGAUAACCUGAACUCAUGCAUAACUUUGAUCUUUGUAGUCUAAAAAACUCCCUCCAAAAGGCACUAAGGAAAAUAGGAUCCCUGUCACUCACUAUGGUCAUUGGCAUGCCAUGCAACUUGAAAAUGUUUUCCACAAAUUCUUGUGCUACCAUGCUAGCAGUAUAUGGGUGCCCCAAUGCUAUGAAAUGCCCAUACUUAGAGAGCCUAUCCACCACCACUAGAACGACUGACUUCCCCUUGCAUGGAGGCAAUCCACAGAUGAAAUCCAUACUUAUAUUUAUCCAGGCUUGCUGUGGAAUUGGAAGAGGCUGCAGUAACCCAGGUGGUGAUAUUGUUUCAUACUUAUUCUGUUAACAAGCCCUGCAUUCAGCCACCCAAGCUUUUAUAUAUUUUUUCAUCCCAACCCAAUAAAAGCCUUUUUUCAAUCUUUGGUACGUCUUCAAUACCCCUUCAUGACCUGCUGUGGGAGUAGAGUGAUGCUCCUAAAAAACUUUUCUCCUCCAGUUAGAAUCAACUCCCAAUACAAUCCUAUGCUUGCAUUUCAAGAAGCCAUUAUCCAGGUGAUACUUAGUAGCAGUGAUAGUAGUUCUAGGAUCUUAACCUUGUACCGCUACUUCUUGUUUCUUUGAUCUAACCCACGGAUCCUGUUCCAAAUCUCUCCUGAGGUCAUCCAACCACCCAAAAUAGGGAUAAGUAACAGCCAGUAAUUCUCCCUUCUCCUCUAAAGGUAGCUCAGAAAGGGGUGGUGACCCUAGAACCCGAGAAAGAGCAUCUGCCACAAUGUUUUCCUUACCAUGUCUAUAUUGCACCUUAUAAUCAAAUCCCAACAGUUUGGACACCCAUUUCUGUUGGAAUGGGGUGUUGGUUCUUUGACUCAAGAAAUAUUUCAGACUGUUAUGGUCUGUUUUGAUAAUGAAAUGACGCCCUUGUAAGUAGUUUUGCCAUUUUUUUUACUGCAUAAACAAUGGCAAUUAGCUCCCUUUCAUAAGUAGACAAUGCCUGAUUUCUUGGACCUAAAGCUUGGCUGACAAAGGCAAUAGGCCUCCCAUGCUGCUGCAAAACUGCUCCAAUACCUAAACCCGAAGCAUCACACUCAACUAUAAAUGGUUCUGCAAAGUUGGGUAGGGCUAGCAAUUGGGGUGAAUUCAUGGCUUACUUCAAUUUCUGGAAUGCUGCCUCAGUUGCUUCUGACCACAUGAACCCCUCACUUCCAGUGAGUUUGUACAAGGGCAGGCAGAUUUUGCCAUAUCCAGGUACAAAUUUUCUGUAGUAACCUGUUAACCCCAAAAAUCCCCUUAACACCUUCACAUUCUUAGGAGCAGGCCACUCCAAUAUAGCUUGGAUUUUUGCAGGAUCCGCAAAGACUCCCUCACAAGAUACUAUAUGGCCAAGGUAUUCCACCUGGUGCUGCCCAAAAGAACACUUUUGUUUCUUAGGUGGUAUCUGAUGUGGACAGUCACAUCAUCUAAAUUAAUUAACAUUUAAUUUCAAAAUGUUAAUUAAUAAAAAGAUUGUUAAUUAAAUGAUGAUUGUGGUAUACGAUGAGUCUUCUUCUUCCACCUAAGAUUAUUUAAGUGUUUUAAUUAAUAAAAAGAUUGAAAUUAAAUUAUGUAGCUUGUCCAACUCAUCUGCCACCUAAGAUGAUAAAGAAAUGUGGUAUAAAAUUGUGGUAAGAAUAGCAUUAUUCUAUUAUUAGUGCGGGAUCCUCUUUGCAUGUAUUGUCAUUUCGCCCUAUUUUCGGGGCAUUGGCUUUUCCUUUUUGGGAUUAUCAAAUAUCUGCUUUGAUAGUAAACAAGGAACCCAGAUCCUCUCCGAAUCCAAAAUCUGAGCUAAGGAUCAAGUGAUCUGGGCCGUUGAAAUUUAAUCAAACGGCUACAAUUACUAUAACUUUAAAGGGAUCCCCCAUGUUUGUAGCCGUUUGAUCAAAUUUUAACGGCCCAAAUCACUUGGUCCUUAGGCUCAGUUUUUAGGGAUCCGGAGAGAAUCUGGGUUCAUAAACAAGAUCGCAGUUAGUAAGUCACAUCCUAGUCUCGACUCCGCCGUAACACGUUAUUGUCCGCUUUGGGCCACGCCUUCACGGUUCUUUUCUUGGGAACUCACACAAGAACUUCCCAGGAGGUCACCCAUCCUAGAAAUGUUAUCGCCCAAACUCGCUUAACUUCGAAGUUCUCAUGGAAUCCGUAGCCGGUGAGUCGCCAAAAGGUCUCGUGCUAUAUGGAAGUGGGCAUGUAUAUAUAAGGCACAUCACCUUCUCUCCGUUGGUCGAUGUGGGAUGUUACAAUCCACCCCCUUAGGGGUCCAACGUUCUCGUCGGCACACUCACACCACACGACAUAGUGGCUUUGAUACCAUUUUGUCACAUCCUAAUCUCGACUCCGCCGUAGCACGAUAUUUUCCGCUUUGAGCCACGCCCUCACAAUUUUGUUAUUGGGAACUCACACGAGAACUUCCCAGGAGGUCAUCCAUCCUAGAAAUGCUCUCGCUCGCACUCACUUAACUUCGGAGUUCUCAUGAGAUCCAUAGCCAGUGAGUCCCCAAAAAACCUCGUGCUAUAUGGAGGUAGGUAUGUACAUAUAAGGCACAUUACCCCAUCUCCGUUGGUCGAUGUGGGAUGUUAGUAUGUAUAAAGUUGAAAUAUCAGUGUCAGUUAGUGUAAUAUAUAAUGAUUUUAUUUUUCAUUUGUAAUUGAGAAAUUUUAAGUUUUAAUCUCAUAAAUAGUAAGUUCGAUAUCAAUUAAUUUUUUCACCUCUUAAUGUAAAUAUAUCGUUGUAUAAAAAAACAAAUUUGAAAUAUUAGCUUUCCUUUGUUGGGUUUAUGAAUUAUCAUCAUCGGCGCAUAUCUUCUUGAUUAAAUCUUCUAUAUAUCUAAUCACUUUAAUACAUCGUUUAAUUGUAAGUACAUGUUUUAACGCUCGACAUUCUAGUAUAUAGUUAGACCAGCCGGUCAAAGAAGCAUGCUCAUCUCCUUACAUUUAAAUUUGAAUCAAUUUUUUCUUUUAUAAAUUACAGUACUCAGAAAACUCACUCGUGUUUUGUAAUAUUAUCUUCAUUAUUUUUUGUUAUGUCCUCAUUUUCCUUUUUCUUUCUUUUUAAAAGUGAGCAAUCAUAAAUCCACUAUACAAGCGUGAUUUUUAACUUUUCAUUUUGGUCCGUUAGUAUAAACAAAGAUUAAUUAUCAUCACUAAUCCUCCUUUGUCUCGUCGUGUCUCAAGCCAAAUUUUCAUUCCAAGAUUCAAAACGAAUUGUCUUGUCAUUUAGUAACGCCUAUUUCUUUUUCUCAUGAAAAAAACCAAGUCAAGACCCGUGUCAUGUACCAUAGUGUGUAAGCUAUAAAGUCCAUUCCUUGUCGCACUCUCGUUUUCUCCUAAGAAGUGCCGUUUGGUCCACGGAUUAGAUCAUACUAGAAAACAGUGCUCGUGUUGCUGCGGGAUUAAAAAUUGUAAGAAAGAUUGUUUCAUAAAAAAUUGUGACAUAGAAGAUUAAUAUUAUUUACAUUGAAAACGUUAGGAAGAUGUUUACAUACAAAAAAAAAAAAGGAUUACGAAUGGAACAUGAAAAGUUUUCAUCCUGUACUGUUGGUUGAGGUAGCAGAAGAUGAUGGCACAUGAACUGAGCUAGUAAAAGUUGUAUUCAACACAAAUAAAAUAUCAAACACGGUUUAUUUUCUUUCAUUUGAAAUCAUAUGGUGUUGCGUUUACUGCAAUAAAAAAAAAAGGUGAAAACACUUCAAGUUAUGACAGAGGUUCAAUUAGCAAAAGCUACAACCCAGUGAGAGUAUGAGUUUAUAUAUUAGAUUCACUCACAUAGAUUAGAUUCUCUCCCUGCCGGCCUCACCAUUUUUAAUCAUUUUCUCUCCCUGCAUCUAAUUUUUUUUUAUAAACUUUUAUAGUUUGUCGUGCCACACAUCAUGUGACCGGUUUUAAUUCACAUUUUUUUCAAAAGACACAACCCAAAUAGAGGGUGACUGGAUGAUGGACGCGUGGAGUGAAUGGAUAAAACAGUAAUUCGACGGUACAAAUGUGGAAACAUCAAGAGAAACAGGUCAAAAUUUGAGGGGUAUUUCCGUCUUUUUACUAUUUAUGAACCGUGCUAAAACUCAAUGAGUUUUAAAAUAUAUAAUUUGAAAAGCCGGCAGAUUAGAUCGUAUUCUGAAGGCCGGAAAUUCAUUUGUUGAAGAACCAAAAGCUCACUCAUUUAAUUUUCCAAACACCAAAUUUAGAAACCUUGUGGUUUUGUUACGUACUUGGUAUGAGUUAUUUCACCCUAAUUUUAUCCGUACUUGUUUUUCCACUACUCACCAUCCAUGCAUCAAAUCACUGCAACCAAUCGUGCCCGAGUUUCGGUCCCAGCCCGAUUCAGUACCCUUUCGGGUUCUCAUCGGGCUGCGAAAUCCAGCUUAACUGCACUCCAAACAGAGGAUUCGCAAUCGGGCGGUUUCCAAUCCAGUCCAUAACCCAGGAGAGCAUAAGAAUCAAUCUCUAGAGCCGUUGCAACCGCCCCCUCCACACCCUCCGCCACCUCUACAGCCGGAAUUACGCCCCGACGUCACGGAACGCGAUUCUUUUACAGAACUGUACGGAUGGGAAGCCGUCGAGCAGCUGCGAGAUUCCCAACAUUCUGGUGCAGGCGCGGUUCGACGCGCCGCCCAACUGCAGCGCCAACAGCAGCCUCAGCUGUUACGCUGAGACCAGAAAGGAUGUCCAAUUUUUGAACUUUGGGAGCGUCAAGCAGAAGGACUGCAAAUUCUUGCUGUCAUCGAUGUCGUCGCCGUCGCCACAACUUUUGAAUACCUCGGCGCCGUCGUUGCUGGAGCUGGAAGUGGUGGAGUUAGAGUGGUGGCUUGAGGGAACUUGCGGGUGUGAUAAGAACGCCUAUUGUACGACGGUCGUAUCGCCAAAUGGGACAGAAGGGUAUAGAUGCAACUGCAAGGAGGGUUUUGGUGGAGAUGGAUACGUUGCUGGGUUAGGCUGCAGGAAAGGUAAUUACUGAUUACAUCUGCUUAAUUACUAACUGAUUACUUCUGCUUAAUUACUUAUCCUUCUUGCUCAUUUGAUCAUUCUUUUUCAACUCAUCCAUGGUGAAUCAUGGAUGUAUCAAAAGUAAAAUAGAGGAACUGUUUGGUUAUAGGUGUAAGGUUAAAGUUGGUUACUUGGUUAUAGGCAUAGAGAGAGUUUAAAAUGACAGAUGGCUUUGAUUUGAUUGAGGAUCCAAGUAUUUUCCUCUUUUUUUUUUUUCUCUUCUAACCCCAUCUUUUUUUUUGUGGCUUAUUAACCGAGUUCUCUUUUUAUUUUAUUUUAUUUUUAAAUUCUUGUAUUAAUUUUUUAUUUUCUCGUUUAAGACAUUCAUUAUAUUUAUCUUAAAUUAUCACAUUAUUUAUAAAUAUUGUAUUAUUUUUUAAAAACAAUAUAAAUAUUGUUUAAUGCUUAUUUUACGAUAAUUUAAAUCUAUCUAGCAUCCUGCCUAGAUCUCGCUUAGGCACUCCAGUUCGUUGUUUGAUUAGCGCCUAACAUUUUUUAGGAUCUAAUCCUGACCAAUUUAAGCUUCUUACAUUGACUUUGAUAUUAUUGCUUACAACUGCUUUGGUUGAGAGAUUAUUUUCUGCUAUGAAUAUUGACUCAAAAUUUUAUACUCUCCAAUGUAAAAGCAACUGCUUCGAUUGAACCUUGCACUCUUUUGAAUUUCGUCUCUCCCCUCUGUAAAUCCUGGCUUUGCCACUGGAUAACACAAUCUUAGAGUCUAAGUCUCCUUCACUUUUAUGACAGUCACAAAGGAUCAAAUUCGACAUGACGUCAUGACGUUUUACUAAAUUAAAUUCCAACGUUAGUACUACUACCAAGAGAUGCUUUUCAGCUAUGAAGCUGUUCAGUGCUCACACAAAUGGACUUGGAUUGUCUGCCCUCUAAUUUUGGUACCCUCUUCGUGCCCUCCUGUUUUUGUGGUCACGGUUAAGCCACGUCAACAUUUUAUAUUAAUAUUUUUUUUUGUUUUAUUAUUUUUAUAAAAAAAUAAUAUAAAAUAUUAAGUGGCUUAACCGUGACCACACAAAACAGAAUGGCACGGGGAGGGCACCGAAAUGGGAGGGCAGAGAAUCCAAGUCCCACACAAAUAAGUCUUUGUGGUGCUUGUCAGUGGGGAAGUUGAGAAGGAAACUCCCCUAAUAGGCCAUGGAAGUCUUUUAAGUCGAGCAACAAUUACAUGGAUAGUUCCCACUAGUCUUCCAGUCUCCCAAAUUCCAAGUCAACAGGGGUGUUACUAUAUUGCAAACAAUGAAUUCCGAACCUCUAAACGAUUCAACACUCUUUUUUUUUUUUUUGAGUGAAAGGCAUAGUUUAUUGCCGACAAAAAACCGAAGUUACAAACCAGAACUUACACAGCCAAGGCCCCAAACGAAAUAUACAACAAAAAGGUGGGCCUUCCGGACAAAGCGGUCUGAGCCUAACCAAGAGAUUAGGCCCAAAAACAUAAACAGACUAAAAGAAAUAGAAAACCCUAGUCUACUGCAACUCCCGCCGCCGCAGCACCUCUCGAUCAUCAUGUUCCAUGAAACCCAACGAAUGCCAUAGAUUCGACCAACCGACGCCUCAGAGGUUGAAGUAAGGAAGAUGCCAUCAUCCAUCAAAGAAGACCUCUCCGAUUGCAGCCACCAAGUAGAAACAACAACGAAGGAAGCUAGUGGGAUCUCCACUUGCGACACUGCCAACAAAGGCAGAAGGAGGUGGUGCGAACACCCGAGCCGGUGGGAACACCGGAGCUCUACACACCUUCUCGAUAUACCGCAACAGAUUGCGGUUGAAAGUGAUGGCGAAUCGGCUAAGGUAAGGUAUUGAUGAAAGAUGGAACCAAAUUAGAAGGAACAAAACGAAUUGAAAAAGGAUGGAGAAGGAAAGAGUGAUUAUUAGGACAUCGGCUAAUAGGAUCGACAGCAUGUGGGGUGGAAAGAACAAACAGAGGGAAAGGAGAACUGGGCCAGAACAGGAGCAGGAGGUAAGGGAGAGAACAGCAAAACACAGAAAGAAAAGACUGCCACCGACCCUAGCCAUAGCUAAGGCCGGCGGCUAAAUGGAAAACAGGAUCUGGAAACCCUCACACAAAGGGGGGAAGAAGAACUCUCACUCACGGAGAGAAAGGCUCUCACUUACGGAGAGAAAAAGUCCGGCUUUUUUAACAAUUCAACACUCUUUGGUCUGAAGAGGAAGAGUAGAUUUUCUUAUUGUUCUUCCUUUGCGGCGCUUUCUUCUUGUUGAUCAGCUCGGAAUUUUCGGAUGGCUCCGGUGGCUUUGUUUAUUCUCGCCAUUCUUGCUCACCUUGUGGUUCUGCACUCUGCUGAAUAUUCAGCAGAGGAACCCGCCAAACUUUGUCCAGUCCACUUCUGCAGUAGCUCAGCAGGCAACAUCAGCUUCCCCUUCAAAAGGCGGGAAGAUCCUCCUGAAUGUGGAUUGUUCACAGUCGAUUGUUCAGUACCCACUCGGACAACGAUCCAAUUGAAAGAGGGAGGAUACUGGUAUGAAUUCCAAGGCCCUUUAUCAACUACGUUUUUUAUCAACGACAAAGACCUUGCCGACCACUUAGAAAAAAAUCACUGCAAUGACGGAGUUUUGGACGACUUGAGUCUUCCCAGGGCUUCUCCAAUCCCUGAAGUAUCAUUAUUCACACACACACUGACCCUUUUCAAAUGCAGCACCACCUUAGACAAAAAUUCUUUUCCACAACUUAACGAUGCCUGCAGAGAUGCUUCCCAUACUUAUUAUGUGGCUUCAUCUUACAGUAGUUUGCCUAGCUCCCCGCCGCCAGGGUGUGCAACCAUUCAGGUCCCCAUACUUCCGUCUCCGCCUCAACCCAUCACGUUGUCUUCAUUGACUGCUGAGUUUUCCCUCGAAGUGGAAGCACGAAAAUGUUAUCAAUGUCGUGAAAGAAAAGGUGAAUGCCUGGUUGAAUAUGGAAAAUAUAAAUGCACCGCCAGAAAAAGGUAUAUACAUUUACAUGACCUUUUUUUCAUUCUCUGACGUGCGAGAAUCCAAUUCCUUUCUUCAAAGGAUAUAACUCUUAGAAACAGGAAACAGUUUAUCGAAAUGCCCAAGUAUUAAAUGAUUGUCAUGUAUGCAUUAUCCUCUCUUUUUUUGUUGGGUAACAUUAUUUAUGCCACUUCCAUCUUGUGUGAUUUAGCUAACAACCGUUUUCUUUGCAGUUCAUAUUGCCGGAGAUACGCAGUUGAAAUUGAAGCUAGGACUAGGUAAGAUUGAUAUCUCUACAUUUAAAUAUCUAAUUGAUAUGCAUACUCAUCUAGGACAAGUGCUAGAACCAAAGGACGGAAAUCAAUCAUUCCCCAAUCCCUCUGGAUUAAUUUUCUUAUAAUCACGGAAGCAAGCGUUUAAACACGUUGGCAAAGUCCAUUGAUUGCUCUGCAUAACAUACCUUUGAUCAAAUUUAACUCUCCUUGAAGCAACAGCGGUAUAAACUGCAUUGUAACCGUCUCUCUAAUUGUAUUCUUUAGGAAUUGGCCUUGGGUUUUCUACACUUCUUGCAAUAUGCAUAUUUCUUCUCUUGCUUUGCAAACAAAAACGCUCAGGUUUAUGUUACCGUCGUCCUAGUUGUCUGCUGUUUCUUUUGGAAAGGGUGAAUCCAAAACAUCAAAUUGUUGAGGCCUUUCUAAGGAGCUAUGGGCAGCUUCAAGCUCAAAGGCAUAGCUAUUCGGAGGUCAAGAAAAUGACCAACUCCUUCAAAGAAAAGUUAGGACAAGGAGGCUAUGGUGCUGUUUACAAAGGAAAGUUAAAGGACGGCCGUCUUGUAGCAGUGAAGGUCUUGACCAAACUUAAAGGAGACGGAGAAGAAUUUAUGAAUGAAGUGGCAGCCAUUAGUCGAACUUCCCAUGUCAACAUCGUCUCCUUGUUGGGCUACUGUUUUGAACAUUCGAAGGGGGCUCUGAUCUAUGAAUUCAUGCCUAAUGGAUCGCUCGAGAAGUUCAUAUUUGAUGCAAGUACUCCCAAGAAUGAUCAUCAUCACUUGGGAUGGGAAACUCUGGAUCAAAUUUCACUUGGUAUUGCUCGAGGAUUGGAGUACUUACAUCGUGGUUGCAACACACGAAUUUUGCAUUUUGACAUCAAGCCUCACAACAUUCUUCUCAGUGAAAAGUUCACCCCAAAAAUCUCAGAUUUUGGCCUUGCCAAAAUAUGCAACAAGAACGAGAGCAUUGUGUCGAUGUUGGGAGCUAGAGGUACAGCAGGUUACAUUGCUCCUGAAGUAUUUUCUAGAAACUUUGGAAAGGUUUCACACAAGUCUGAUGUGUACAGCUACGGAAUGAUGCUUUCAGAAAUGGUUGGAGGAAGAAGGAACAUCGACACUGAAGUUGAAAAUACAAGUGAAAUAUAUUUUCCGCAUUGGAUUUACCAACGUCUUGAACGGAACGCAGAGCUUGGUCUACGGAGUGUUACGAACGAGGAAGACAAAGUAAGAGCGAGGAAGAUGAUCAUAGUGAGCUUGUGGUGCAUACAAACUGAUCCUUCAAACCGGCCAGCGAUGAAGGAAGUGAUAGAUAUGUUGGAAGGGAGUGUUGAUUCGUUGCAGAUACCACCCAAGCCUUACUUGUCUUCUCCUCCAAAAUCCCAGGCAGAUUCUUCUACUACAUUGGUAUCAAUACAAUAGAAACCCUGUAUUUUACUUGAACGAAUAUGUGCUUUCUGAGGCAAUCUAAAUAAUGAAGUAUGCAUUUCAUUUUUGUUUUUUUUGUUUUUUUCUGUAUAUGAAUGAAUCAACACAGUAGGAGUGUCACUCCUACUACCGCUCCGGCAAUCAUAUAUAUAUUCAACACAAAAUGUGUGAAACAUGUAAGAAUAUUUUAAUGACAUGCAUGCAUAUGAUAUGUAGGAUUCAAUGUAAGAAUAUUGUAAUAUUCUUAAGUAUUCCGCAUGACAUGUAUAUGAUAUUUAAUAAGGAAAACUAAUGAAAAGAGCUUGAAAACUUUGAGUUUUAAUGAUAAGGACAAAAUAAAGGGUAAAGUGAAUAGUACUAUGAUUGACUUUUUAGUGUAAAAAUGUGGUUUUCGUUAAAGUGAACAGUAGCAAGUGUUUUUCGUUAAAGUUCCCUAUUUAAUAUUCUAAAAUGGUCCACAUGACACGUAUAUGAUAAUAAUCCCACUGGUCAAAUUAUGAGAAAUGUUUCCUAUUGAAUUUUUGUGAUGGAUGGUAAUUGAUUAUGUACUUUGAAUGGAAACGGGUCCUCUCUCUCUCUGCCUCACUUAUAUAUAUUGCAUAAACCCAUCUAAUAUGCAUUUGAUAGUCGAAAAACACGAUUAAGGUUUUUACGUGCAAAUAGAGGCAAGAGAGAGCACCUAUUUCCUCCGCCGCUGACAGAAUAGAAUCUGAUUGGGGAUCUCAUAGCGUUCGUUGUCAUGGAUCAAGGUACGCUUGGUUGAUUAAUGUAUUUUUCCGCAUUUUAUUUGCAUGUGAAAAUCAUGAAGUUCGAUGAUCUUAGCUUAAUUGAUUUAUAAUUUACAUGUGGUAUCAGAGCCUAGUUGAGAGCUCUCAUGAUUUUCCAUUUACGAUUAUGAACUUUAAUUGAAUCGACUUGAUCAAGGUUUUGCUUCGAAAUAAAUUAUGAUCCGAUGUGCUAUUUUGAAAUAACCUAAUCGCUGUUUUGAAUUGUGAAUGUUCUUUAUAUAUUGUAAUUGCACUCAGAAAUAAUAUUUUCCUUAUGGUGCUGUUGCUUAUUAUCAAUUGUGAUAUUUGAUCAUUACGAUUAUAAACGUCAUUCAUUUAAUUUGUAAUUCGUCUUACGAAAUUGUUUGUUAGUCACCAAAGUGGCCAAACUAGAAAGAUCACAUGGAUUCAAAUUAAAUGAUGAUUAAUCAAUUACUCAUGGAAGGAUGAUGCAUAUGAACGAACAAAAUCUUAUUAUGUUUUAAGGGGGCGUUUGUUGCGCCGAACUAUCUCGGACUAGACUAGCUUCAAUGACUAAGCCGGACUGGCUUAGACUAGACAAAGCUGGACUAAUAUAGUAAAGCGUUUGGUGCAGUUUUGGACUAAGAAGUUGGAUAAUGACAAUAUUUUAUUAUGAUCUAGGUGACCGGAGAUGACGAGAAGUUUAUCGGGAGUGGUUGUUGAGCAUGACGAGGACGAGAGAUGAUAGUCUUAGCUAGUCCCAUGGUUAUUGGGGGGUCUUGCUAAGACCUCUUAGAGAAGGGUUUUGUCCAUGCUAGUCCCCUUUAGUCUCAUUUGUCCAUGCUAGUCCCCUUUAGUCUCAUUAAUGUUAGUCCCAGUAUGGAACAAACGCAGUAUUAGACUAACAGCUAGUCCAGUCCAGUCCAGUCCAGUCCCACUUAGUGAGGGCAAACAAACGCCCCCUAAAGGUUUGUACAUGAGUAAUAUGAUUUUCAUUUGUCAUAAGUUCUUAAGGGUCACCAAAAGGUUGACUAAUUGCUCAUAUGAUUGAUAAUAUGAAUGUGGUGAGAAUUGUACAUUUCAUUUUAUUGGUUUCGGAUAUCCAAAGAUAACGAAACCUGUCUUGUUAGAGAUGUACAAUUAUCAAUAAGGUAUUAUGCAUGGAUGAUUGUUUGUAUUGUUGUAGUAUCUACCCAAAGGAGAAUAUGAUAAUACACUUAUUGUUAUUACACGUGUUUUUAUAUUACUCAAAGCAUUAAUGUUGUGAGCACUUUUGAAUUGAAGUGUCAGUGCCUAUUUCUCUUCAUUCACUUGCUUCAUCUAUUCUCUCACUUAAUGGAACAAAUUUCUCAGAUUGGAGUGAGCAAGUUCAGUUUCACCUUGGUGUCCUAAAUCUUGAUUUAGCACUCCGAACUAAUAAACCUGUUGCUCUUACGAAUACAAGCAGCAUUGAGGAAAAAUCUCUCUAUAAUGCCUGGGAGAGAUCGAAUAGAUUGAGCAUAAUGUUUAUGCGAAUGACUGUAGUGAGCAACAUAAAGACUGGCCUUCCUCAAGCUGAAACUGCUAAGGAAUACUUGAAAAAUAUUGAGACUCGUUUCAAGACUGCUGACAAGUCUCUUGCUGGGACAUUAAUGGCUGAGCUUACCACCAAGAAAUUUGAUGGUAUGCGAAGUAUGCAUGAGCAUGUCCUUGAAAUGACUAAUAUAGCAGCAAAGCUAAAGACUCUUGGAAUGAAUGUGGAUGACUAUUUUCUUGUUCAAUUUAUUUUGAACCCCUUGCCUCCUCAGCAUGGGCCAUUUCAAAUCAACUAUGGUGCUAUUAAGGACAAAUGGAAUGUUGAUGAAUUGGCCGCUAAACUUGUUCAAGAGGAGGGAAAGCUUAAGCAGCAAGGAGAGCAUUCUGUUCAUUUAGUAAGGCAAGGAGCUGAAAGAAAAUUUGGAAGAAAGCCUAGAAAGGGAAAGAAAAUAGGACCACCCAAGGUGAAUGGACUUGCUAUGCUACUCAGGCUCAUGAUAAGGAACAGAAAAGUGAUUUAUGUCACUUCUGUAGGAAGCCUGGGCAUUAUCAAAGGAAUUGUCAAAAAUUCAAAGAAUGGUUCGAAAAGAAAGGUGAGCCUUUGGCUUAUGUAAGUUUCGAACCAUAUUUAACUGAAAGUUCCUUAUAAUACUUGGUGGGUUGACUCUGGUGCUACGACUCCUAUUUCAAAUUCGAUGAAGGGAUUCCUUACGACCCAAACUUUAAAUCCAUAAAAUUUCAUUUUCAUGGGGAAUCGAGUCAAAGCUCUAGUUGAAGCUAUUGGAACCUUUCGUUUAAUUUUGGAUACUAGAUAUUGUUUGGAUUUAUUUCAGACACUUUAUGUUCCUAGUUGUUCCAGAAAUUUGGUUUCAGUUUUGAAGCUUGACCAUAAUGGUUUUUUUUUAUUUUUAUAAAGUUUGGUAAUGAAUGUUUCAGUUUAUAUAAGAAUACCUCUUUUGUUGGUUCUGGUAUUCUAAUAGGUGAGCUGUAUAAUUUAAAGCUCAAUAAUCGUUUUGCUAAAACACUUUUGAUCUUGCAUCAUAAUGUUGGAACUAAGCGUUGCCUAAAUAAUGAAAAUUCUUCAUUCUUGUGGCAUAAAUGACUGGGUCAUAUAUCCAGAGAAAGGUUAGAAAGAUUAGUAAAGAAUGAGAUUCAUAUGCAAUUUAAGGUGAUUUCAUUCAUGUGUAAUCAAGUUCUGUUUUUAAUUUUUUCUUCUUUUGAUAUGUGAAUGUUGAUUGUCAAAGAACUAAAGGUUGCUAGGUUGGUGAAAAUCUGAAAAUUGACCCAAUUUUGUAUAAUAUAUUAGUUUAAGAACAAUAAACAUACAAGCCCACACACACACACACACACAUAUGCACUCCAAAAGUAAACGAGUUGGAAAUGUUUCGUAAUAUUUUCCUCUGAAUCUUCUUUAGCAUGCAUAAGAUUUACCAUUUCCUUUUAAAUAACUUUUAAAAUCAGCUCUAGUCCAUGUUUGCUUAACAAUGUUGUAUCAUUAUAUAAUUUCACAAAGUUUGUGCAUAAUUCUUGCUGAACUUGGUUUGCUUUUCUUUAAUUUAGGUAUGGAGUGAGCAAAUCACGGUUCGACCAAGUCUUCAACGAUGAAUUGAGUCAGAUCAUUAAGGUCUCUCUACGUUUGUUAUAUUUGUUUGGUUUUUUAUUUCUAUAGUUAUAGAUAUUGUUAGUAUGCAUUUGGUUUGGCUUGAUUGGGGUAUAGGAUGAAUUUAAAUAGUACUGAUUUUUAUUAUUUUUUCCCCCUCCAGCUACCAGUUUGUUGUUUGGCACUGUAAAUGUACAAUCGGAAAAAAAACUAGGGUCAACAACGUGCUUCAACUGUGCUUGCAUUGGCAUUUGUAAUCCUCAAUACUUGACUCAAACUUAGAUCAUGAAGAUAAUGAAGUUGCAUAAUCUUUUAUUCAGUUUUCAAUCCCGCAAUAACGUGCGGGCACAAGUUUCUAGUAUUGUCUGGGUUGGGUAGGCUCAAUAUGGGCCUCUAAAACGGGUCAUGUAGCGGUCCAGUUUAGCCGGUUUACUUUUUCAAUUUUUUGUUUGGGAUGAGUAGCCCAGCUUACUUUCUAAAUAACAAAAAAACCCAAUGUACUAUUUAUUUAAAGUAAAAUAGAAAAAGAUUUUAGGAAGAAAUUUAAAUGGAGCCGUGCCCUCUACAUACUUAUUUUUACUUCUCACACGAUCAUGUUUACUACUUAACCAUCAAAACCGGUAGAGAAAAUGGCAGUCACAAACGACCAAAUUCGUCAUGACGUUUUACUAAAUUAAAUUCUAACGUUAGUACUGUUACUAGGAGAUGCUUUUCAGCUAUGAAGCUGUUCAGUGCUCAGACAAAUUAGACUCGCAAGCAAGACGGAACGGAACAUGUUUCACUGCGCGACGAGAGAACACUGAACACUCAAUCGUUUCCGUAAUCUGUGUGGUUCAGAGGAGUUGCAAGGAUUUUUUAAUGUUAUCUUUGAAGAGUCAAGGGGUCAAAGUCUUUCUGAUGCUUGUCAGUGGGGAAGUUGAGAAGGAAACUCCCCUAAUAGGCCAUGCAAGUCUUUUAAGUCGAGCAACAUUUACAUGGUUAGUUCCCACAAGUCUUCCAGUCUCCCAAAUUCCAAGUCAACAGGGGUGCUAAUACAUUGCAAACAAAGAAUUCUGAACCUCUAAACAAUUCAACACUUGUUCUGAAGAGGAGGAGUAGAUUUUCUUAUUGUUCUUCCUUUGCGGCGCUUUCUUCUUGUUGAUCAGCUCGGAAUUUUCGGAUGGCUCCGGUGGCUUUGUUUAUUCUCGCCAUUCUUGCUCACCUUGUGGUUCUGCACUCUGCUGAAGCCAUACAUUGUCCAGUCCAGUUCUGCAGCUCAGCAGGCAACAUCAGCUUCCCCUUCAAAAGCAUGGGAUAUCCUCCUGAAUGCGGAUUGUUCACAGUUGAUUGUUCAGAACCCGAUCGGCCAAAAAUCCAAUUGGAAGAGGGAGGAUACUGGCAUGAAUUUGGAGGCUCUUUAUUAUCAACUUCGAUUUGGAUCGAAGAUAGAGACCUUGCCGACCGCUUAGAAAAGGAUCGCUGCAACGACGGACUUUUCGACGACUUGAGUCUUCCCAGGGCUUCUCCAAUCCCUGAAGUAUCAUUAUCCACACCCAAUCUUACCCUUUUCAAAUGCAACACCACCUUAGACAAAAAUUCUUAUCCACAACUUAUUUAUGGCUGCGGAAAUGCUAACCAUACUUAUUAUAUCAAUUCAUCUAACGGUAAUUUACCUAACCCUCUGCCACCAAGGUGUCAAACCAUUCAGGUCCCCAUGCGUCCGUCUCAACCGACCAUGUCCUCUUCAUUGACAGCUGAGUUUUAUCUCCAGGUGUCAGCACAAGAAUGUUUUCAAUGCAUUGAAAGCAAAGGUGAAUGCCUGGUUCUCGAGGGAAAAUUUAAAUGCGCCAAGGGUAUAUACAUUUACAUGACCUUUCUUUCUUUCUUUCUCUGACGUGCGAUAAUCCGAUUCCUUUCUUCAAAGGAUAUAACUCUGAGAAACAGCAAACAGUUUAUUGAAACACACAAGUAUUAAAUGAUUGUUAUGUAUGCAUUAGCCUCCUUUGUUUUGAAUGGUAACAUUAUUUAUGCCACUUUCAUCUUCUGUGAUUUAGCUAACAGCAGUUUUCUUUGCAAUUUAUGUUGCAGGAGAUAAGCAGUUUGAAAUUGAAGCUAGGACUAGGUAAGAUUGAUAUCUCUACAUUUAAAUAUCUAAUUGGUAUGCAUACUCAUCUAGGACAAGUGCUAGAACCAAAGGACGGAAAUCAAUCAUUCCCCAAUCCCUCUGGAUUAAUUUUCUAAGAAUCACGGAAUGAGCAAGCAUUUAAACACGUUGGCAAGGUCCAUUGAUUGCUCUGCAUAACAAACCUUCAAUCAAAUUUAACUCGCCUUUAACAGUUGGUGCAGCUUCUGUUAUCGUCGUUCUAGUUGUUGUCUGCUGUUUCUUUUGGAAGAAGCGUAUCCAAAAACAUCAAAUUGUUGAGGCCUUUCUAAGGAGCUAUGGGCCGCUUCAAGUUCAAAGGCAUAGCUAUUCGGAGGUCAAGAAAAUGACCAACUCCUUCAAAGAAAAAUUAGGACAAGGAGGCUAUGGUGCUGUUUAUAAAGGAAAGUUAAAGGACGGCCGUCUUGUAGCAGUGAAGGUCUUGACCAAACUUAAAGGAGAUGGAGAAGAAUUUAUGAAUGAAGUGGCAGCCAUUAGUCGAACUUCCCAUGUCAACAUCGUCUCCUUGUUGGGCUACUGUUUUGAGCAUUCUAAGAGGGCUCUGAUCUAUGAAUUCAUGCCUAAUGGAUCGCUCGAGAAGUUCAUAUUUAAUGCAAGUACUCCCAAGAAUGAUCAUCAUCACUUGGGAUGGGAACCUCUAUAUCAAAUUUCACUCGGUAUUGCUCAAGGAUUGGAGUACUUACAUCGUG
rnacentral:lncRNA from 1 species